rnacentral:rRNA from 1 species
GCAUGAUUCAGUGUGAAAAGCCCUGGCAGUAUAGGAUGGUCCCGCGUCUGAUUAGCUGGUUGGUGAGGUAACGGCUCACCAAGGCGACGAUCAGUAGCCGGCUUGAGAGAGUGAACGGCCACAUUGGGACUGAGACACGGCCCAAACUCCUACGGGAGGCAGCAGUGGGGAAUAUUGCACAAUGGGGGAAACCCUGAUGCAGCGACGCCGCGUGAGUGAAGAAGUAUUUCGGUAUGUAAAGCUCUAUCAGCAGGGAAGAAAACAGACGGUACCUGACUAAGAAGCCCCGGCUAACUACGUGCCAGCAGCCGCGGUAAUACGUAGGGGGCAAGCGUUAUCCGGAAUUACUGGGUGUAAAGGGUGCGUAGGUGGCAUGGUAAGUCAGAAGUGAAAGCCCGGGGCUUAACCCCGGGACUGCUUUUGAAACUGUCAUGCUGGAGUGCAGGAGAGGUAAGCGGAAUUCCUAGUGUAGCGGUGAAGUGCGUAGAUAUUAGGAGGAACACCAGUGGCGAAGGCGGCUUACUGGACUGUCACUGACACUGAUGCACGAAAGCGUGGGGAGCAAACAGGAUUAGAUACCCUGGUAGUCCACGCCGUAAACGAUGAGUACUAGGUGUCGGGGCCGUAGAGGCUUCGGUGCCG